GAUGAACGCUGGCGGCGUGCUUAAUACAUGCAAGUCGAACGAAGCACCUUGGACAGAAUCCUUCGGGAGGAAGACCAUUGUGACUGAGUGGCGGACGGGUGAGUAACGCGUGGGUAACCUGCCUUGUACAGGGGGAUAACAGUUGGAAACGACUGCUAAUACCGCAUAAGCGCACAGUACCGCAUGGUACGGUGUGAAAAACUCCGGUGGUACAAGAUGGACCCGCGUCUGAUUAGCUGGUUGGUGAGGUAACGGCCCACCAAGGCGACGAUCAGUAGCCGACUUGAGAGAGUGAUCGGCCACAUUGGGACUGAGACACGGCCCAAACUCCUACGGGAGGCAGCAGUAGGGAAUAUUGCACAAUGGGGGAAACCCUGAUGCAGCGACGCCGCGUGAAGGAAGAAGUAUUUCGGUAUGUAAACUUCUAUCAGCAAGGAAGAAAAUGACGGUACUUGACUAAGAAGCCCCGGCUAAAUACGUG
rnacentral:rRNA from 1 species